CACUCCACAAGACCAGACAUCAACAGCUGCUCCGCUGUAGCUCUUGUUUAGAAGCAACUGUUUCAACAAUUUUGCAUGAGUUAUUGCAGGCAGUAAUCAACCGCAUCAAUCAAUUGGUGGAAAAGCUUUCUUGCUUCCGACUCUUUCAGCUUGUUCCGGUAUGUCUUACAAGUUUGUCGGAAAGCUGACCACCUGGGACGUGUUCCAUGACAAUACAGAUCUUGGUCUUGGUGCCUAUCACCUGCGAAUCAAAGAUGAUAUUGGAAGAAGAGCAGAAGAAAACGCAGAGAGAGAAAGCGGCGAUGGGAAUUCAACCUCAUGA